AUGAAGGUUCCUCCACUCUUUGGUCUCAUCAGGUUCCACUCGGUUCUUCGCUCUGUCCCUCGUUCUGCCAACAUGCUGCCGAGCGUCUGCGCUCUCCUCGCCGUCCUGACACUGGUCAGUUCCCACAAAGCGGUGACACAGAAACCCUCGGUUCUAACAGAACAAAAGGGGAAAAGCGUCACUCUGGAGUGUAACAUCGAAAAAGACGAAAGCAACUACGUCUCCUGGUACAAACAGAUUCCAUCUGAAACUCCACAGUUUGUGUUGAGAUUCUAUCAUUCUCACGACGCUCCUAAUAAAUAUGGAGAUAAUUUUUCAUCCUCACGCUUCACAUCUAAAGCUUCUUCAAAAAUUGAUUAUCAGUUAAUAAUCAAUAAUGUGGAGGUCGGAGAUUCUGCAGUGUAUUACUGUAGCACAUGGGACGACUCUGCUAAAGAGCACGUAUCACAGUGA